rnacentral:tRNA from 1 species
GGCAGAGUGGUGUAGUGGACAGGCAGUGGGAGUCAGGAGACCUAGGUUCUAAUCCUGGCUCUGCCA